rnacentral:rRNA from 1 species
UACAGAGGGGGCAAGCGUUGUUCGGAAUUACUGGGCGUAAAGGGCGCGUAGGCGGCCUGCUAAGUCGUACGUGAAAUCCCCGGGCUCAACCCGGGAACUGCGUCCGAUACUGGCAGGCUUGAAUUCGGGAGAGGGAUGUGGAAUUCCAGGUGUAGCGGUGAAAUGCGUAGAUAUCUGGAGGAACACCGGUGGCGAAGGCGGCAUCCUGGACCGGUAUUGACGCUGAUGCGCGAAAGCUAGGGGAGCAAACAGG